UCUAUAUUUUUUCUGCCCUAAGCAGAAUAGUAUUGUUGUGCCCCCUCCUUCAAUAACAACAACAACAACAGAAACAACAAUAAUAAAACACUACAAGGCCUCAAAAUAGAACUUUAAUAAAAUAUAAAAGCAAAUAAAUACAUUUUAUUUAAACUGUAUUAUUUUUUAGAGCCCGACCGAUAUAUCGGCCGGCCGAUAUUAUCGGCCGAUAUGAGCUAAUUGCAUUUAAAUCGGCAUCGGCGUUUAUAACGGCCGAUGAAACAUGAGAAACAGUCUCAUAUUCUUCACUCAUGUUAUGAGUGUUGCAUAGUUUGCCCACCAGAGGGCGGUCUGCAGCUCCAGAGUUGCAACAGCGCCAGAAAUCCACAAAGAAGAAAGCGAUCAGCCAAGCUACCCAGGUGAGUCUGUCGUUCGUCAUGUGAAAUGAUUGUAGAUUUAGUUCAUACACUGUAUAUAAAAACGGUGUGGUAGUUCUAGUUAACGGUCCUAUCAUUAUCACUUCUCACUUCUAAAUAUUCUGUAACAUCACUUACAGCAGCUAAUGCAUUGCUAUAUUAGAUUAGCCACAAAGCUAAUACCAUGUUUAUCAGUGGAAGAGCGCGAACGUUAAUAAGAGGUCGAACUAUAAAGUUAGCGUUUAGUGCUUAUUCUAUUGCGGUGUGUUUCCCACAUAAUGACCGCGUAAUGGGCCUUUCACACAGGACGCGGUAUGCACGAGUAACCCCAGAGUGCAGUCUGGACGAUGGGGCGGGGCGACACUUCGAGGCGGAGCGACACGUGUCGCCCCGCCCAUAUUUGUUUUCCCCGCCUUUGACAUUUUCCUCCGAGCCAGCAGGGGGCAGUUUGCGUUGAAACAAACAGAACGGUGGCAACUACAGCAGCAGAGUAAUAACGCUAUUCCGUUGAUUGCUUGAGGAUGACAUGAUCAGGAGAUGGUGGUGUUCUGUUCUCCUGGACAGCUUUACUCCGCAAAUAGCUCAACCACUGAGGGGAGGAACUUCACCAUUCACCAUGUCUUCAGGCAGAGUCCAGCAAAGCAGCUUCCACUGGAAAUCCUCAGGGAAGUUAUUUUGUCAGCGGGUGACUCUGCAUAUUUGACUCUUUCUCUGGUUUGCAGAUGGUUUAGGGAUGUGCUCCGAAGUUUUUCGGAAAGCGGCACAGUUUGCCUGGCUAGAGAUUGUGGCCAACUGGAAGAAUUGUCCUCCUGUCUCCUGACCGGAACGAGUUUAGACGGAUGUACAGCAUCAGGGAAUGCUUGCAGUGCAGAGCCCUUUUCAAGUUUAACCCACCAGGGUACAGGGAAGAGACCGGCGUGGUGA
rnacentral:lncRNA from 1 species